ACUACAAGGAUUCCCCUAGUAACGGCGAGUGAAGAGGGAAGAGCCCAAGAUUGAAAGCUGGCGUCUUCGACGUCCGCAUUGUAAUCUCAAGAAUUGUUUUCCGCUUCGGACCAAGCCUAAGUCUCCUGGAAAGGAGCAUCAUAGAGGGUGAUAAUCCCGUACAUGGCUUGGAGCGCCCGUAGCUUUGUGAUACAAUUUCUAAGAGUCGAGUUGUUUGGGAAUGCAGCUCAAAAUGGGUGGUAAAUGCCAUCUAAGGCUAAAUAUUGGGGAGAGACCGAUAGCGAACAAGUACAGUGAUGGAAAGAUGAAAAGAACUUUGAAAAGAGAGUUAAACAGUACGUGAAAUUGCCAAAAGGGAAGGGUAGGAGGUCAGAGAUGCUUGCUGGGAUUCAGCCUUGCUUUUUGCUUGGUGUUUUUCCUAGUCGGCAGGCCAACGUCGGUUUUGGGCACUGGAGAAGGGUAAGAGGAACGUGGCACCCCUCGGGGUGUGUUUAUAGCCUCUUACUGGAUACAGCGACCGAGACCGAGGACAGCAGCGUACUCGCAAGAGCGGGCCUUCGGGCACCUUUACGCUUAGGGCGUUGGCAUAAUGGCCCUCUACCACCCGUCUUGAAACACGGACCAAGGAGUCUAACAUGUAUGCGAGUCUUUGGGUGGCAAACCCAUAGGCGCAAUGAAAGUGAAUUCAGGUGGGAUCCGCAAGGUGCACCAUCGACCGAUCCUCACGUCUUUUAAGUCGUGGAUUUGAGUAAGAGCAUACCUGUUGGGACCCGAAAGAUGGUGAACUAUGCCUGAAUAGGGUGAAGCCAGAGGAAACUCUGGUGGAGGCUCGUAGCGGUUCUGACGUGCAAAUCGAUCGUCAAAUUUGGGUAUAGGGGCGAAAGACUAAUCGAACCAUCUAGUAGCUGG
rnacentral:rRNA from 1 species